rnacentral:rRNA from 1 species
GAUCCUGGCUCAGAUUGNACNCUGGCGGCAGGCCUAACACAUGCAAGUCGACCGAAUGAGGAGAGCUUGCUCUCUGAUUUAUCGGCGGACGGGUGAGUAAUGUAUAGGGAGCUGCCCGAUAGAGGGGGAUACCAGUUGGAAACGACUGUUAAUACCGCAUAAUGUCUACGGACCAAAGUGUGGGACCUUCGGGCCACAUGCUAUCGGAUGCACCUAUAUGGGAUUAGCUGGUUGGUGGGGUAAUGGCUCACACAAGGCGACGAUCCCUAGCUGGUUUGAGAGGAUGAUCAGCCACACUGGAACUGAGACNCGGUCCAGACUCNUAUCGGGAGGCAGCAGUGGGGAAUAUUGGACAAUGGGCGCAAGCCUGAUCCAGCCAUGCCGCGUGUGUGAAGAAGGCCUUCGGGUUGUAAAGCACUUUCAGGCGGGGAGGAAGGGGAUGUGGUAAUAGCUGCGUCUUU